GCCAGACUCCUACGGGAGGCAGCAGUGGGGGAUAUUGCACAAUGGGGGAAACCCUGAUGCAGCGACGCCGCGUGAGUGAAGAAGUAAUUCGUUAUGUAAAGCUCUAUCAGCAGGGAAGAAAAUGACGGUACCUGACUAAGAAGCCCCGGCUAAAUACGUGCCAGCAGCCGCGGUAAUACGUAUGGGGCAAGCGUUAUCCGGAUUUACUGGGUGUAAAGGGGGCGUAGGCGGCCUGGCAAGCCUGAUGUGAAAUACCGGGGCCCAACCCCGGGGCUGCAUUGGGAACUGCCAGGCUGGAGUGCCGGAGAGGCAGGCGGAAUUCCUAGUGUAGCGGUGAAAUGCGUAGAUAUUAGGAGGAACACCAGUGGCGAAGGCGGCCUGCUGGACGGUGACUAACGCUGAGGCUCGAAAGCGUGGGGAGCAAACAGGAUUAGAUACCCGCGUA
rnacentral:rRNA from 1 species